AUAUUGCACAAUGGAGGAAACUCUGAUGCAGCGACGCCGCGUGAACGAUGAAGGCUUUCGGGUCGUAAAGUUCUGUCCUAGUGGACGAUAAUGACGGUACCCUAGGAGGAAGCCCCGGCUAACUACGUGCCAUCCGCCGCGGUCAUACGUAGGGGGCAAGCGUUGUCCGGAUUUAUUGGGCGUAAAGGGUUCGCAGGCGGCCUUUUAAGUCGGGUGUGAAAGACUACAGGUCAACAGUGGUAAGCACUUGAAAAUGGAAGGCUUGAGUUAAGGAGAGGAAAGUGGAAGUACUAGUGUAGCGGUGAAAUGCGUAGAUAGUAGGAGGAAUACCAGUGGCGAAGGCGACUUUCUGGACUUAUACUGACGCUGAGGAACGAAAGCGUGGGGAGCAAACAGG
rnacentral:rRNA from 1 species